CAUUCGUGGAAUAUAACUAAGUACAUUGACUCCAGUACUGUCCUUGAAUACAAAUGUUGAGGUACUUGUACUUCACUCAAGUCUGUUCUUUUCAUACCACUUACUACUUCUACUCCGCUACAUUUCAGAGAGAAUUAUUGUACUUUUGACUCCACCACAUUCAUCUGACAGCUUUAGUUAGUAGCUACUUUACAAGGUAAUAUUAUUG